UGCAAAGGAUUUUCACUUUGUUUUGUUUUGGUUUGAACAACAGAACGUUUGCCUCAGCACUUUUUCUUCAUGUGCAAGCACCAUGGCAGAUUUGAUGUUCAUGACGGAUACAGAGAAGACGUUUCAGUAUUCCAAGGAUCUCCCUUCUCUGCCCAUCCCUCCUUUACACCACACACUACAGAGAUAUCUGGACUCAGUAAGGCCUUUGGUGUCUGAUAAAGAAUACGAAGAAACCGUGAAAAUAGUGGACAGAUUUGAACAUGGAAUUGGAAAGGAAUUGAAUCUCAAAUUACAUGAAAGAGCCAAAUACAUGCGCAAUUGGCUUUCCAAAUGGUGGGAAGAUGUUGCGUACUUGGAAUUCCGAGAGUCGAUAGCCGUGCGUCAGAACAUCAGUGGAGUCGGUCCGUACAUGUACGAUGUGUGGCCGGCCUGCGUGGGAAGUCAGAUGGAGAGGGCGGCACUGAUGCUGCACUACACGAUGGACUUCUGGCGGAACAUCAGAAAAGAACGUAUUCAACCACAAAAGGAUUCAAAAGGAAGACAUCUUUGCAUGAACCAGUUUUAUUACAUGUACAACACGUACAGAGUUCCUGGCUUGCACAAAGAUGAAUUGUUACACUACUUUAAAACUGAAUCACAAGGUGACACACCGUCCAAUGUUAUUGUCACAUAUAAAGGUCGUCUCUUCAGUGUGGAGAGUCUCGAUGAUAAAGGGGAAUUGCUGACUGCACCGGAAUUUCAGCAGAUUCUACAGACAAUACAUGAUAGAUGUAACAGUGAACCGCAUGGCCAGUGUGUUUCCGUUCUAACGGCUGAUAAUCGCACCAGAUGGGCACAGAUGCGCAACAGGAUAAUCGCUCUACAUCCAAAGAACUACGAGACACUGGAAAUCAUCCAGAAAGCUGCAUUUCUGAUUGGCUUGAGUGACGACAGUCCAGCAAACGAGUCUGAGCUUGCCUGGCGAGGGUUUGGAGACAGUCCGGAGAACAAAUGGUUUGACAAGUCGGUCAACAUUGUCGUCUUCAAAAAUGGACUGGUCGUCUCGGGAUGUGAUCAUAGCCCGUGUGAUGCCAUGGUCUUUGUGGUAUCAACGUUUUAUCUACACUUGAUGUUGAGAGAGUGCAAUGGAAAAUGGAAUGGAAGCCACACGAUCAGGACCCUGCCUCCUGUUGAGGAAUUAAAGUUUCACAUUGAUGAUCAGAUUGCGCGACACAUCGAUCUCGUGAGAGAUGAGUUCCAGAAAGAGGCUGACAAUCUAGAAGCGGUCACUACCCACUUCCGGAACUAUGGCAAGGCGUACCUGAAGACUGUGCGAAUUCACCCGGACACUCACGUUCAGCUGGCCAUGCAGUACGCCUAUUACAAGAAAUACAGGCGACCUGCUGCGACGUACGAGUCAGCUACAACUCGUAUAUUCUACAAUGCACGCACCGAGACAGUCAGAUCUUGUACGGUGGAAGCUCAAGACUGGUGUAAAUCAAUGGUGGACCCCAAGGCCAGUGCUCAAAGACGCGUCCAGCUGUUUCUACGUGCCACUGACAAACACAACACGCUAAUGCAGGAAGCUCAAGAAUUAAAAGGUUGCGACCGACAUCUGCUUGGCCUGUACCUGAUUUCAAGAGAGAAUAAUCUGGAUGUCCCAGAACUAUAUAUGGAUCCAUCCUUCAUUAAGAGUGGAGGUGCAGGCAAUUUUGUGAUCUCGUCCAGUUUUGUUGGCUUCACAACAGUGUACGGGGGAGUGGCUCCCAUGUGCAAGGAUGGUUACGGCAUCAUCUACAGGAUCCAGGAUGAUGAGAUUGUCUUCUACUUGUCAGCGUGGAAGUCUGACGAGGAGACGGAUGCGCGGGAGAUGGAGAGAAUGCUCCAUGACUGUCUGGAUGAGAUGCGGCUGCUCAUUGACAACCACCACAUAACCUCCGCCCGUCUGUAGCCUCCUCCUGUCUAUAGCCUUUUUUCGUCUGUAGCCUCUGCUCAUUAUUUGACAAAAAGUUUUUAUAGACUAAACCCGGUAUGUAUCACUUGUUACUUUUCAGUUAAUUAAUGGUUAUUGUUGAUGAAGUAGAAUUAGUUAAUGUGUUGUUUUUGUUUUGUUUUUUUCUUGAAAACUGGUAGUACUUGUUGUAUGCUCUUUGGAUGUUACUGGAUUUAGUGAUUAAACCGUAAACCAAUUUAAACCAAGUUUUAUUAACCCGUAAACUCCAUGCAUGCAUGUACUUGUGUGUAUGUGUAUAAUUACAUUGUCCGAACUAGAGGGUGUAGUUAUUAUUGUUUUGGGGGUGGGAUGUAGCCCAGUGUUAGAGUGCUUGCUUGAUGUGUGGUCAGUGUGGGAUCGAUCCCCGUUGGUGGGCCCAUUGGGCUGUUUCUCAUUCCAGCCAGUGCA